rnacentral:rRNA from 1 species
UACGGGGGGGGCAAGCGUUGUUCGGAAUUACUGGGCGUAAAGGGCUCGUAGGCGGCCAACUAAGUCGGGUGUGAAAUCCCCAGGCUUAACCUGGGAACUGCAUCCGAUACUGGAUGGCUUGAAUCCGGGAGAGGGAUGCAGAAUUCCAGGUGUAGCGGUGAAAUGCGUAGAUAUCUGGAGGAAUACCGGUGGCGAGGGCGGCAUCCUAGACCGGCAUUGACGCUGAGUGAGCGAAAGCCAGGGGAGCAAACAGG